rnacentral:rRNA from 1 species
GUCUACGGCCAAGCUACCCUGAACAAGCCCAAACCCAUCUGAUCUCGGAAGCUAAGCAGGGUCGGGUCUGGUUAGUACUUGGAUGGGAGACUGCCUAGGAAGAUCAGGUGCUGUAGGAG